GACGGGGGGUCCUAGCGUUGUUCGGAAUCAUUGGGCGUAAAGCGUGUGCAGGUGGUUUGGAAAGUUGGAUGUGAAAGCCUUGGGCUUAACCCAAGAAGUGCAUUCAAAACUCCCAAACUUGAGUAGGGAAGAGGGUCGUGGAAUUCCAGGUGUAGUGGUGAAAUACGUAGAUAUCUGGAGGAACACCGGUGGCGAAGGCGGCGACCUGGUCCUAUACUGACACUCAUACACGAAAGCGUGGGGAUCAAACAGG
rnacentral:rRNA from 1 species